UACGAAGGGUGCAAGCGUUGUCCGGAAUUAUUGGGCGUAAAGAGCUCGUAGGCGGUCUGUCGCGUCGGCUGUGAAAUCCCGGAGCUCAACUCCGGGUCUGCAGUCGAUACGGGCAGACUGGAGUUCGGCAGGGGAGACUGGAAUUCCUGGUGUAGCGGUGAAAUGCGCAGAUAUCAGGAGGAACACCGGUGGCGAAGGCGGGUCUCUGGGCCGAUACUGACGCUGAGGAGCGAAAGCGUGGGGAGCAAACAGG
rnacentral:rRNA from 1 species